GGCGAGAUAGCUUAGCUGGCUAGAGCGUCCGGUUCAUACCCGGAAGGUCAGCGGUUCGAAUCCGCUUCUCGCUA
rnacentral:tRNA from 1 species